UCAUUAUUAUAUAAUAUAGUCAUGGUUAUUAUAAUGAUAAAUGGUUUUAUUACGUACCCCGCAUCAUAUUCGUAUAAAUAGAACACUUAUCCGUUAUUAAUCCCCAGUCUCUAGUUCUCCGCAAAACAUAAAACUGAUCGUCUGUAAGAGUAUCUAAUUUACGAUGAACAGUGAUCACUUUAGUCAUACUAUUAUGAUGUACCAUGAACAUUACGCAAAAACUAUAAAAGACACACACUAUAACGUCCAAAAGCAUUUUGGAAAAUGCAUUUAUAAUUGGCAGUCAUUAUAGCGUUAGUUUAAACCAUACACUUGUUAAUUAAUUUAUCAAUUUAUCUAUAAGCAUU